AUUGAACGCUGGCGGCAUGCUUUACACAUGCAAGUCGAACGGUAACAGGCCGCAAGGUGCUGACGAGUGGCGAACGGGUGAGUAAUGCAUCGGAACGUGCCCAGUCGUGGGGGAUAACUACUCGAAAGAGUAGCUAAUACCGCAUACGAUCUAUGGAUGAAAGCGGGGGACCGUAAGGCCUCGCGCGAUUGGGGCGGCCGAUGUCAGAUUAGGUAGUUGGUGGGGUAAAGGCUCACCAAGCCAACGAUCUGUAGCUGGUCUGAGAGGACAACCAGCCACACUGGGACUGAGACACGGCCCAGACUCCUACGGGAGGCAGCAGUGGGGAAUUUUGGACAAUGGGCGCAAGCCUGAUCCAGCAAUGCCGCGUGCAGGAAGAAGGCCUUCGGGUUGUAAACUGCUUUUGUACGGAACGAAACGGCUCUGGUUAAUACCCGGGGCUAAUGACGGUACCGUAAGAAUAAGCACCGGCUAACUACGUG
rnacentral:rRNA from 1 species